GACGAACGCUGGCGGCGUGCCUAACACAUGCAAGUCGAGCGAUGAAACCCUUCGGGGUGGAUUAGCGGCGGACGGGUGAGUAACACGUGGGUAACCUACCUCAAAGAGGGGGAUAGCCUCCCGAAAGGGAGAUUAAUACCGCAUAACAUUAUUUCUUCGCAUGAAGAGAUAAUCAAAGGAGUAAUCCGCUUUGAGAUGGACCCGCGGCGCAUUAGCUAGUUGGUGAGGUAAUGGUUCACCAAGGCGACGAUGCGUACCCGACCUGAGAGGGUGAUCGGCCACAUUGGAACUGAGAUACGGUCCAGACUCCUACGGGAGGCAGCAGUGGGGAAUAUUGCGCAAUGGGGGAAACCCUGACGCAGCAACGCCGCGUGGGUGAAGAAGGCCUUCGGGUUGUAAAGCUCUGUCUUCUGGGACGAUAAUGACGGUACCAGAGGAGGAAGCCACGGCUAACUACGUGCCAGCCGCCGCAGUAA
rnacentral:rRNA from 1 species